CAAUAUGAAAGUAAACACGACAGCUCCGCUUCGGCGUGUUGUUUUUGUGUUGUUUGCAAUCCAAAUCAGUGCUGGAAUGAUGAAUGGGGAUGCUCCCAGUGUUGAUUCAGUGCAGCCUAGAUUUAACAUCCAAUCUGUUCCGUGAAGUAAUUUGCUGCAUCCUGAAUUGACCAAAGACCAGGUUAAUGAUUUAUUUGGUAGCAUUCUCAACAAUGAGGCACAAUUGCUUGUGGUGGAUCAGUUUGAAAUGGAAAUCAACAGACAAAAUGACUAUCUCAUACAAUAAGGUUUAUAUAGACAGCCAAUUAUUGGGGAUAGGAAUUGUUUAUUUAGGGCUGUAAGUAAUGCUCUUUUUGGAAAUCAGGAUCACCACCUUGAAUUAAGACUCUCAGCAGUAAAUGAAAUUGAACAAAAUUUGGAUCAUUUUUGUAUGUAUUUUCACAAUGACAACAAUAAUUUACCAAUGAAUGAGUUUGAAAUACAUAGGGAACUAAAUCAAUUAAGACAAUUAGGC